rnacentral:rRNA from 1 species
UGCGGCAGGCCUAACACAUGCAAGUCGAGCGCACUCUUCGGAGUGAGCGGCGGACGGGUUAGUAACGCGUGGGAACGUACCCAGAUCUAAGGAAUAGCCACUGGAAACGGUGAGUAAUACCUACUACGCCCUUCGGGGGAAAGAUUUAUCGGAUUUGGAUCGGCCCGCGUUAGAUUAGGUAGUUGGUGGGGUAAUGGCCUACCAAGCCUACGAUCUAUAGCUGGUUUUAGAGGAUGAUCAGCAACACUGGGACUGAGACACGGCCCAGACUCCUACGGGAGGCAGCAGUGGGGAAUCUUAGACAAUGGGCGCAAGCCUGAUCUAGCCAUGCCGCGUGAGUGAUGAAGGCCUUAGGGUCGUAAAGCUCUUUCGCCUGUGAUGAUAAUGACAGUAGCAGGUAAAGAAACCCCGGCUAACUCCGUGCCAGCAUCCGCGGUAAUACGGAGGGGG